AAAAGAAAACAUUUUAUGUUUAGGUUUUGAAGUCUUAUACUGAAAUAUCAAUUCCAUGUUGAAAUAUUCAAGUGGAGAAACUCAUUAAAUUCUGCUUCAGCAGAAACAAAUAAGGAGGAAGAUACCAAACUUAAAAAGAUUGAUAAGAGCUUG